rnacentral:rRNA from 1 species
AACGAACGCUGGCGGCAUGCCUAACACAUGCAAGUCGAACGAUGCGUCCGGGCAUUUUGGCGCACGUGUGCGUCACGCGUGGGGAUCUACCCUUGGGUUCCGAAUACCUCGCCGAAAGGCAAGCUAAUAACGGAUGGUCGCGUAAGUCCAAAGAUUUAUUGCCCCAGGAUGAGCCCGCGUAGGAUUCGGUAGUUGGGAGGGUAAUCGCACACCAAGGCGAGGAUCCUUAGCUGGUCUGAGAGUAUGAUUAGCCACACUGGGGCUCAGACACGGCCCAGACUCCUACGCGAGGGAGGAGAGGGGAAUAUUGGACGAUGGGGGAAGGCCUGAUCCAGCAAUGCCGGGUAAGUGAUGAAGGCCGUAGGGUUGUAAAGCUCUUUUACCCGGGAUGAUAAUGACAGUACCGGGAGAAUAAGCUCCGGCUAACUACGUG